CUUGCGUGCACAGCAACAAACCACCCGAACCCAUUUCGACCUCGACAUGUGACCGUUGUCUGUACCAUAUGUACUGCUCUUGGUGGGAGACGUGGGAUACGCAAG
rnacentral:rRNA from 1 species